rnacentral:rRNA from 1 species
UGGGGAAUAUUGGACAAUGGGCGCAAGCCUGAUCCAGCCAUGCCGCGUGUGUGAAGAAGGCCUUUUAGUUGUAAAGCACUUUAAGCGAGGAGGAGGCUACUUGGAUUAAUACUCUAGGAUAGUGGACGUUACUCGCAGAAUAAGCACCGGCUAACUCUGUGCCAGCAGCCGCGGUAAUACAGAGGGUGCGAGCGUUAAUCGGAUUUACUGGGCGUAAAGCGUGCGUAGGCGGCUUUUUAAGUCGGAUGUGAAAUCCCUGAGCUUAACUUAGGAAUUGCAUUCGAUACUGGGAAGCUAGAGUAUGGGAGAGGAUGGUAGAAUUCCAGGUGUAGCGGUGAAAUGCGUAGAGUUCUGGAGGAAUACCGAUGGCGAAGGCAGCCAUCUGGCCUAAUACUGACGCUGAGGUACGAAAGCAUGGGGAGCAAACAGG